CACACCCCCUUCUCAGUGAGCUCACACUGCGGGGCAGUUGCAGCACACUAAAACCCCCCCUCUUGGCAUUUUCUGGUGAUUCCUGCACAACAGUUAGACUCACUCACUUUUUUGAGCUGUCUAACUGACGAAGACGUCCCAUCUGCAGCUAGGCGUUCGGAGGACCGGAACAGGACAGGACACGCACAAACCUUGACACCACACAACAGCACCACAGACAUGUCGGACUCCGAGACAGCCGCUGCCCCCACCGAGGCCCCCGUCCCUGCUGCUUGUGCCAGCAUCAAGGCUGACCUGGACAAAUGUGUGGCAGAGAAGGGAGGCGAGGGCUGCAAAGAUCUGAUGGAGGCCUUCGCUGCUUGCGUGAAGAGUGCAGCUGAGGGGACGUCAUGAGGAGUCGCCCUCCAACCUCUAAUGUCCACUGCACUGAGUCCUCCAAGUUCCCAGCAUUCCCUUCUGCACAACAACACUGGACUGAAUGAUGACAACGAUGAUGAUGAUGAUGAUGAUGCUGUUGAUGAUGGCGUGACAAACAUUGUGUUGAUUCGGGCUGAAUUUGGGAUCUGGCGGCAGUAACCAGUCUCCUCCCCCCUGUCCUCCCCCCUCCUGUUUUAGGUUUAUCUGGUGUCCCUCAGUCUUACCACCAUUCCCCUUCUCCCUCUACGUCUGAUAUACAGCUCAUCGACUUGUAGACAAUUCCAGAGAGCUGAUGGGCUGUGAUGUAAAUUGUCGACUUGAGAUGAAAACUUAUAAAUGGAAAUAAAAGUAUCAAGUAAUUGGUAUAAAAAUAAA